UACGAAGGGGGCUAGCGUUGUUCGGAUUUACUGGGCGUAAAGAGCGUGUAGGCGGCCAAGCAGGUCCGUUGUGAAAACUGGAGGCUUAACCUCCAGACGUCGACGGAAACCGCGUGGCUAGAGUCCGGAAGAGGAGAGUGGAAUUCCUGGUGUAGCGGUGAAAUGCGCAGAUAUCAGGAAGAACACCAAUGGCGAAGGCAGCUCUCUGGGACGGUACUGACGCUGAGACGCGAAAGCGUGGGGAGCGAACAGG
rnacentral:rRNA from 1 species